CUGGGUUCCAGGGCUGGAGGCAUUUUUCGUUUUUUGGCAUAUGGUUUCUAGAACUUCCUCUCUCUCAGCAUCUCUUUGCACAAUUACUGCAUAUGGUCACUGGCUAACGAUUCCUUCAUAGGCAAACCUUCCUUAGUAAGAAAUUCUGUGAACAGAGGAAAAUAACAAUGACCACAAACCAACAACAACAUAAAAUAGCUUUCCCCUAAGACUUAUGUAGAACUUUCUUCUUUUCUAGUUAUCUUCUUUGUACUCAUCAAUUUUUUUGCCGGGGGAGAGAUAUUAGAACUGGAAGAAUCUGUAUAAGACUCAGAUCGGAGAUAACAUAUCGACUGACUUCUCUACUGAAAUUGAAGUUUUGAGGAAGAAAACUUCAAAUAUUGAUUUGUCAUUUAUUCAUCAUGUGAUGCAAGAGAGAGGCAGAAAAGAGUAAUUGAAGAAUUAGGUCUCUGCUUCACUUCUAAUUCUCUUUCUUUUGAGGUUCCUUAUGAUCAACCUUUACACUCUUUGAAACUGUUUUAUUGGUUGUAGCCGUGUGCUCUGUAUAUACAUAUCCUGGCCAAGAGAGCAGAUUUAAAGGAGACAUGGCCUAAAAAAGGAAGGUUCCCACCUGGAGUUUGCCUGUCUCACGAAAAUCUUUGAAGAAGCCAAAGCGCCCUCAUAGCAGGCAGGACUCAUGUUGACAACUUUGAGAGAUUUUAUUGUCAUUCCAGAAUGGAUCUAAGUCUUCUGCAGGUUUUGGCAAAUCUCCAGGGCCUCAAACCAAGUUUUAAAUCAAUGAUGAGCCAUCUGGUAAAAGACACAAGAUUAUUUAAAAUGGAAAAUGCAAUAUGUAUUUCAACUCCAAAAAUCUACCAAAUAAAUACACCUGAUUUUGUUUAUUGGAUUGUUGCUUUCAUUCAACGUUUUUAUCUGUAAUAGGGUAUCUGUUAUUUUCCUUACUUUAUUAAAGCACACUAAUAUGGUGA